CCCCAGUGAAUGAAUAAGAAGGAAUCAAGAGAUCAUCCAGGGCAGCCUGUCCUAAUUGCAAGGCCAUCCUCUUCUCCAAAUCAAGCCGGCAAGCAACUGUUGUUUCGAUAUAUAUUGCUGCACGUAGCAGCAUAGAUAGAAAGCUAACUGACAGUACAUUCCUCUCCCUUGGCAGAAGACUAACAAUUGUCUCUAAAACAACCCUCUUUUCAUGCUCUUGUUGAAGUUCAAUUUUCUUCCUCCCCUUUCCAAAUAUUUCCAAACCUCGUAGUGAUUUCUGUGCAUAAAGCAUAAGUAUGGGACCAAGAGCAUAUUGUUUGAAUCCUCUAGC
rnacentral:misc_RNA from 1 species